GUGAGGAGGAUGAGCCCUUUUCUCCCAGAGCUGUUUCAGGUCAGUGCUCUGUCACAGCCACAAAAAAAGUAACUAGAAUGUGUAGAUAGUCAGGAGAAGAGCGGGCAGGAGGCACCUAUUAUUACAGCCCCCCACCCUAAGCCCCUCCCCAUACCCCCGUGACUGUGAUCAGGAUGCGGGGGAAUGAACUCAAAGGUGGACCCUCAGGACUUCCAACUGGCCACCAGGAAGGGGCUAUGGGAAGCCAGAAGAAAGUCGGACACCCAGAACCAGCCUUGGAAGUUUCCAAACGCAUCCCUGAGCGGUGUGGAGAGGGAGGUGCGUGAGCUGAACAGGCUAGCGAGGAGCAACCAUGCCUGUUUGAGAGGCUGGAGGAGCCCUGUUGGGGACCUGGUGGCUGAACUGACCUCCGAAGAAUAAGGAAAAUGUCACAAAGAACACGAGAGAGAAGCACAGAAGAGAGCAGGGUCUGCGGGCAGCAAUGGAAAAGGAGGUCUGUGAAUCUGAGAAGAUCGAGAGGCCUGAGGUGGGGAGCUAAAGGAGAAACAUCGGAACUGGGGAGCAAGCCCAGACAUACAUGUCCCCUUCACCACCCCUGAGCAGUGAAGGCCUGAGAGGGCUUUGAAGGUCCCCUUUCAGGUCUGGAAAUGGCUGUUCCCCACCUGGCUGUGACAUUCCCUGUCCCCCAGCAUUCUUGGACUUGCUCCAGCAGGCAUACCAGGUGACUCAUAGAGACACCCAAGGGUAAUUGCUGAUUCUGCAUGCUGCAAUGCCCAGGGUCUCAGUUGCAGCAUGUGGUAGCUAGUUAUUUUAACUUAAUUUAAUAAUGAAUUCAUUUGUGUUUGUGUGCUCUCAAGAGGUACACCAUGGUACACACCUGCCAAGAGCAGCUUAUAGGAGUCAGCUCCCUCCCUCCACCUAUGAACUCCUCUGCCUUGGUGGCAGUUGCCAUACCUUUACAUGUUGGGCCACUUCCCCAGCUCCUUGAUGGUUAAUCUUGAUAGUCAACUAGACUCAAUUUGAUAUCAACAUGGAAACACACCUCCGGGCGUGUCCAGAAAGGUUUACAAAGAGAGGAAAGACCCACCCUGAAUGUGAAUAGCACCGCCCUAUUAGCCAGGAUUCCUGGCUGAAUACAAAGCAGAAAGUGAGGGGAGAACCAGCAUCCUCUCUGGUUCCCAUAGCGUCGCUGUGACCUGCUGCUCCCACCACUGAAUGCUCCCCACGACGAUAAAACCUUGCUUCCUUAAAUUGCUUCCGGACAGCUAACUAGACAGCUAGCUAUGGGCUGGAGAAAUGGCUUGAUGGUUAAGAGCUAGCUGCUCUUCCAGAGGACUCUGGACCCAUAUGGCAGCUCACGCCUGUAACUCCAAUUCCCAGGGACCCAACAUCCUCUUCUGAUCUCACUGAGUACCAGGGACACAGUG